rnacentral:lncRNA from 1 species
GUGGUAGGUAGAUCCAGUAAUUUGCACGCUUUUUGGACCAUCUUAAUGGAGAAGAGAAUUCAUGGAUCGACACGAUGAGUUUUGUAAUAACCCAGAUAAAAAAAAAAUAAAAUAAAAAAAAGAGAUGGAAGGAGGACUCCCGAAAGGAGUCUUCUUCUCCGAUGAAUCCCGAUCGGAGAAGAACUCAAGGCCUUUUAGAACUCUA